UGCACAGAGCAGCAGGUGAACAGCCCUGUGGAGCCCCCGCCCCGCCAUGCAGCAACUGCUCCAGCCUCACAGCUGGCUCCCUCAGGAAGGCCUUCACUGGCAUUCCUACAUCCCUGGAGGAGGGACCUGCAGUGGCUCCACCACACUGAGUAGACCAUGCCGGAGGACACGCCAUGAAAGGAUAUUUCUGUGGCGUUUAACAGUGUGUCCUGUAUUUCACCUGACAACCCCAAAAUGGAACUCAGUCUCAGCGUGGUGGCUAAAAGCAAAGCUUCUGGAGCCAGACUUCUCAGAGUCGGGAUUCUGGUCUUCUGUGUGACCUUG